GGAUGUGAGGGCGAUCUGGCUGCGACAUCUGUCACCCCAUUGAUCGCCAGGGUUGAUUCGGCUGAUCUGGCUGGCUAGGCGGGUGUCCCCUUCCUCCCUCACCGCUCCAUGUGCGUCCCUCCCGAAGCUGCGCGCUCGGUCGAAGAGGACGACCAUCCCCGAUAGAGGAGGACCGUUCUUCGGUCAAGGGUAUACGAGUAGCUGCGCUCCCCUGCUAGAACCUCCAAACAAGCUCUCAAGGAUGGGGAGAAGUCACCUGGGUAAAAGGGAUGGAACAUUCCAAGCAAAGUGAAGAGCUU
rnacentral:snRNA from 1 species